rnacentral:rRNA from 1 species
AUACGUAGGUGACAAGCGUUAUCCGGAUUUACUGGGCGUAAAGGGCGUGCAGGCGGUCUUGCAAGUCGGAAGUGAAAUUCCUGGGCUCAACUCGGGCGCUGCUUCUGAAACUGCAGGACUUGAGUGCUGGAGGGGAUAGCGGAAUUCCUAGUGGAGCGGUAAAAUGCGCAGAAAUUUGGAAGAACACCGGUGGCGAAGGCGGCUAUCUGGACAUUAACUGACGUGGAGGCGCAAAAGCGUGGGGAGCAAACAGGAUUAGAUACCCGGGUGGUCCACGCCGUAAACGAUGAAUACUAGGUGUUAGGGGGAUCGAGUCCCUUAGUGCCGCAGUGAACACAAUAAGUAUUCCGCCUGGGGAGUACGGCCGCAAGGUUGAAACUUAAAGGAAUUGACGGGG